UUGAAAUCGUCGCAAAACAUAUUGACGCCAAAAUCGUCGCCAGCAGAAAUGGCCAUAAGAUCUGUCAAAUCAACUGUGAACAAAAUUUUAUAUACUCAAUAAUCACAAUUAUUUCCCAAAAUUGAGCCCUGUUUUUAAUGCAGAUUGACAUUAUUUUCUAAUAAAACUAACAUAAUUUUAGAAUGAAGAUGUUGGCGACGAUUUUGAUAGUGCCUAAAAAAUGGUCGGCGCGUUUUGUUACCAAGGAAACAGACAAUAUAUUCUUGGAUAUAUUUAUCUAUAUAGAGAUUUUUUACAAGAAGUGGACGAAAACGUUGUGCAUCGGGGCAACAAUUGCAACAGCCACUGACGCAGGAUUCUGAACCAUAACACCAUAGCACUGCCGCCUCUAUUGGCAUAGUCUCCGUCCGCACCUGGAAGAACUUCUCCAGUCCCUUGAAGGCAAGUUCUAGGUUGACGUACGGAGCCACGCUGAAGUGUCAGACAAAGCACCAGACAAUACCAUAAAAAUGGACGUUCCUACAGCAGUGCUCCGUCAUCGUCGGAGGUCGACGAUAUGGCCUACGUCACUGAACGACACUCGGAUUGAUCCAGAAAACACCAUUCAAGAGCUUAGGAUACUUAUACGAUAUAGUAUAGUACGAUUCCCACAACUAUAAUGAUGACGUUCUCACAUGACUACGGAACCGGCGGUGGAGGCAACUUCCAGAAUGGUCUUACCUUAUAGUAAUGUGGAAGUUCGGACAUAAAUGCUGGUGCAUCUGAUAGCGUAUAGCGACGAAAACUCAAUGAGAUGGAGUGAGGCGGACAAUAAUUGUGGAAACGUUUGUAAUAUAGGUGGCAGGAAAGAUCGGCAAUUCAUGGUGGCUGAAUGUCAACAGGAUUCAAAUUGAAGGCGGGAAAUAUGAGCAUAAAAAAAUGUGUUUCAAAUUAAGGAUAAAUAAGCUUGAUCUAAAGUAUGUACGCUGUAUUUUAAAAUAAAUAAAAAUAAAAUGUUAAUUACAAAAUAA